AUGGCCGUUGGAGCAGCAUCGUCGCAACAACCAUCACAACAUCACCGGAGCAGCCGCAUUACCAUCACAGUUGUAAGCAUGCCAUCGCAGCAACUGUCACAGCAUCACCGGAGAAGCCAGGCAACCGUCCACUGCCGAGCAGCCGACCUCCAUCGCGCUCGCAGCAAUCGACACUUCUGCAGCCCACUCGGCGCCAUCACAGUAGUGUCACCGCUGCCUAGUCGUCACAACAUCGCCGGAGAAGAUGCACCUCCGGUGCAACAUCACCAGAGAAGCCACACCGCUGUUGCUGCAUCGCCGAGCAGUCGGGCCACCGUCAUGCUUGUAGGAGCCGGCUCGCUGCCAUCGCAGCAGCAUCGUCGCAGCUAG
rnacentral:rRNA from 1 species